AUGCCAGUAGGUCCUCAGCAGUACCACCUGAUCGGAAGUGAUAUUGGUGGAAGGCAACACUUUGCCGCUUGGAAUUCUCACCUCCACACCAAAGAAGGACUGUUUUUGUCAUUUGCACCAGCUUCUUUCUCCAGGAAAGAUCAAAACGAUGCACUCCAAGGGAAGCAAGAGAAUGGAUUAAAGAAAACUCCAGAGAAUGAGCUGACAACUUACUCCCUGGUCAGUGGCUCUCCAUGCCUACCUGUGGUUUCUUGGACACCCUUGCAGAAGAUGACUUCCUGGGAACUCUUCUGA
rnacentral:lncRNA from 1 species